UUUUUUGUCCCGUUAAACGAAACUAUCAGGUGAGUAAGAUGGAAUAUUUUUUUAUAAGGCCGACCUUGACAAGAUACUAGCAAGGGCACCGACGUUCCUGGACAACUAUCGGAAAAUUUGAGAUGGAAGCAAGGAAUAACAUUUAGAUGUUUCCAUAAGAGCGCGUUGGUUGAUCCAAAGCUCGUACGAUGUAGAACGUUCCGCCGUUGUUUCUCGAUUAGAAUGCAAAUGCGAUCUACGUUGAAUAAGCAUAAAUGAAAAUUUGUAUACGUAUCGUAUUUUCUCAUAUUAUUGCGAACGCUCGUGUUGAUCUUUCCGAAUUAGCAUAUCUGUUUUAUUUUCACGGCGAACGACAAGUGGCGAACGGCGAACGGCGAACGGCGCACCUCUCAUCGCGAUCGCUCCGUCAACAAAGUUGCGAUUUGUUAUCCGCUAUAAAAACAAGAAAGAAUGUAGGAUUCUAAAAAAAGGGCCUUAGUGGAACACUCUUUUUGGACGAGUCGGACGAUUUACAAAAAUUCGACGACGUUCGAAUCCUUGAUCGUCGUCAAACUUAUUCAUGAAAACCGGAAUCGCGACAUUCCUUAUAAACUUUCCUUGAAAUAUACCACUCUACACUGCUCUUUUCACGGAUCAUUAUUUAUCGAUUAGUAGCAAAGAACGAGAAGGAGGAAGAACGGUCCGAUCUCUUAGAUAACGUCGUUUCGAAAAUUUGAAAGCUUUGUGUGCUCGAAAGACGAGAGAAUUGAAAGGCGAAUGAAAUAAGAAUUAAAAGAAACGAGGAAGGAGAGAACGUGCCAUGAAAGACAGUUCUAUUAGAGCAGCGAAUUGGUUCGAGGCUGUUAAUCUACGUAAGCAGGGAAUCUGUAUUUAAUUAAUUAUAAAAGAAGGUGUGGAACCGAACUAACCAAUCCGACCGGUUCGUUUAUUUUCCAACCUCCUUGGAACAUUUCGAUUAUUAGUCUUACGCGUUGAUCUUCACUCAGUGAUCGAAGAACUGUCGAACGUUGAGAUCAUCCGAAUCGUUCGAACAUUUCUCGUUUAUUUUUCUCCUGGAUCGCAACAACUUGUUGUUGUUGAAAUUAUAUUUCGCUUAAACUUUCUUUCACUAUUUUUUCCAAACAAAUAAAUUUUAUUUAAAUAAGAAUAAAUUAGGUACGGCGAUCGAGCGAAAUGUCUGGUCUAAAUUCGCGAGAGCGAUGGGAAGUUCGAGCGUCCCAUAUUGCCAAGCUAACGCACAACCCUAUAAGAUCCAUCGUGGAUAACAUCGUCGUCGAACCAAAUCCUAACAAGAGAAUGAUCGCUUUGUCGAUCGGUGAUCCAACGACGUUUGGAAACUUGAAACCAGCAAAGGAAGUGAUCGAAGCUGUUCAAGAAAGUAUUGCUUCUCAAAUGUACAACGGUUAUGCACCAAGUACAGGUUAUGAAAAAGCAAGAGAAGCCGUAGCCGAGUACGGUUCUUCCGAUUUCGUUAAGGUAGAAGCCAAGGACGUGAUCCUGUGCAGUGGUUGCUCCUGCGCCCUCGAUCUCUGCAUCACUGCGCUAGCACGGGAAGGGCAGAACAUUCUGAUUCCACGUCCCGGUUUUUCCAUUUAUCGAACGUUAGCGGAAGGUCUAGGAAUCGCGGUGAAGACUUACAAUCUAUGCCCGGAACGCAGUUGGGAAAUCGAUCUCGAUGACCUGGAGACGAAGAUCGACGAAUCUACAGCAGCGAUAGUUAUAAACAAUCCCUCGAAUCCAUGCGGUUCUGUGUUCAGCCGCAACCAUAUUCUCGAUAUUCUGAAUAUCGCUGCACGUUACUACGUGCCUAUUAUCGCCGACGAAAUUUACGAACAUAUGGUUUUCCCUGGACGGACUUUUCACUCGUUAGCCUCUCUUUCGAGCGAGGUUCCUAUUUUAUUGUGCAGCGGUCUUGGAAAGAGGUUUUUGGUACCAGGCUGGCGUAUGGGAUGGAUUAUCAUUCACGACAAACAAAACGUUCUCGAGGGAGAGAUUCGCAAGGGUUUGCAAUGUUUGAGUCAACGAAUCAUCGGUAGUAAUACGCUUAUACAGGGUGCCUUACCGGCCAUAUUGCGAAAUACGCCUGAAAAGUUUUACGACGACGUGAUGCGUACCUUGCACACUCACUCGAAACUGUGUUAUAAUUGUAUAGCGAAGAUACCUGGCUUGAAGCCGAUAAUGCCAGACGGUGCGAUGUAUAUGAUGGUUUCUAUAGAUUUAGCCUCCUUUCCCGAGUUUAAUUCUGAUCUUGAAUUUGUACAACGUUUGCUCAUGGAGGAGUCCGUUUUUUGUUUGCCGGGUCAGUGUUUCGACUAUCCUUCUUACAUGAGAUUGGUAAUCACCAUACCCCAAGAUAUGCUCGAAGAAGCGUGUCAGAGAAUUCAAGAGUUUUGCUAUAGGCACCACUGCAAAACGGCGGAGAUCCAUAGGAAAAAUCAACUGAUCGAAAAUUUGAGCGAAACUUUUCUGCUGACCAAUGGAACCAGCGAAAAUCGUGAGGACCUUUGAAAGUUCAUUCAUGGCGUUUGCUAGCGCGAUAUCGUACUUACGUAUUAUCCCUUUUCUUCCUUCAAAAUCGGCCCUAGAGAAUCGUACGAAUGAGAAACGAAGAAGGGAUCGUGCAUUUGCGUAUGUCUCAAGCGUCGAAACACAUUUGUAACAAUUGUCAAUUUUAAACGCAUUUGCCAAAUAAAAUUGUCGACGAUAAAAACGUUGAACGUACGUUACGGCCGAAGGGCCAAUUUCUCGAAGGCACUCGUAUUUUGCGAAAGGCUCGAAGAAUUCAAAGAUUUCAGGAAUGACAGGCACUUCGAAAAGCAUCGGCACUCAUUGUCAAGAGUAAAACAGAAUUUCCGAGGCUUAAGGGAAUAAAUGCUAUACAGUAGGGAACGUCUGAAUCCAGAAAUUCGCUUUUCGUGUCGUCGUGGUCGAUCGAUUGGACGUUGAAUCUAAUGAAGCGGCGAAGUCAAUGCGAACGUGUGAGUACGACGUUUUUCAAUUACGCUACGUCUCUACUACGUCCGCCGUUUAAAUCGGUUCAAUCGCUUUUCUUCAGCUCCUCCUCGUAAUCGUCAAAUUGUUGUUGAUCUUUCGUGUAUGAUCGAGUCAAAUGGAACUAUCCUAUUAUCAUCGAUCGUUCUACGUAACAUCGGCGUCGAACGUAUUUCCUAUAAAUAUAAUGAGGCAAAAUAAAGAGUAAUACAAUUUUUAUGUAACACGACGUUCAUUAAGCCGUACAAACGACGGCAUCAACGAGGAGCUUUGUUUCCGUUCAAUCGUUUCCCAAAAGGUAAAAACACGUUAUAAUUAUCAGUUGGAGCGAUUUUAAGUCGACGGUGGUCACGGAAUAAUUCCAGAGUCCGAAGCGUUGCACAACGGCACGAGAAAAGUUAAUGACACACGUUUCGACGCGAAUGCUGGGACUUGCACUAGUUCGUUUAAAAUUAUUCGCACGAUUUAGCAGAGGCACACAAAUUUAUCGCUUGGAUUCGUGCAACUCGAUUACACCUUCGACGUCUUCGAUCGUUUCUUCCGGCUUCAUCUCGUUAGUACGACUCGAUAGGCCGUUCCACUCCUCUCGUUUCCCCUCCCUUCUUCGUUUUCUUUCGCUCUCGAGCCUCUCGAGCGAGGAAACACGAAUCGUUCGGUCUUACGUUGGCACUCUUUCCAUCUCGAGCAUGCAACAAAUUUCUUUU